GUAGAUUUAGGUUAAUUUAAAACUUUUAGUUUUCAAAACUAAAGAUUAUGUUCUAUU
rnacentral:tRNA from 1 species